GUGGGGAAUCUUGCGCAAUGGGCGAAAGCCUGACGCAGCCAUGCCGCGUGGAUGAUGAAGGUCUUAGGAUUGUAAAAUCCUUUCACCGGUGAAGAUAAUGACUGUAGCCGGAGAAGAAGCCCCGGCUAACUUCGUGCCAGCAGCCGCGGUAAUACGAAGGGGGCUAGCGUUGCUCGGAAUUACUGUGCGGAAAGGGAGCGUAGGCGGACAUUUAAGUCAGGGGUGAAAUCCCGAGGCUCAACCUCGGAACUGCCUUUGAUACUGGGUGUCUUGAGUGUGAGAGAGGUGGGUGGAACUCCGGGUGUAGAGGGGAAAUUCGUAGAUAUUCGGAAGAACACCAGUGGCGAAGGCGACUCACUGGCUCAUUACUGACGCUGAGGCUCGAAAGCGUGGGGAGCAAACAGGAUUAGAUACCCGUGUAGUCC
rnacentral:rRNA from 1 species